CCUACGGGAGGCAGCAGUGAGGAAUAUUGGUCAAUGGGCGGGAGCCUGAACCAGCCAAGCCGCGUGAGGGAAGAAGGUACAGCGUAUCGUAAACCUCUUUUGUCAGGGAACAAAGGCGUGGACUAGUCCCCGUUUGCGGGUACCUGAUGAAUAAGCAUCGGCUAAUUCCGUGCCAGCAGCCGCGGUAAUACGGAGGAUGCGAGCGUUAUCCGGAUUUAUUGGGUUUAAAGGGUGCGCAGGCGGCCUGUUAAGCCGGCGGUAAAAGCCUGGGGCUCAACCCCGGCGAGCCGUUGCAACUGGGGGGCUGGAGUGGGAGAGAGGUACGCGGAAUGCGCGGUGUAGCGGUGAAAUGCUUAGAUAUCGCGCAGAACCCCGAUUGCGAAGGCAGCGUGCCGGAUCGACACUGACGCUGAAGCACGAAAGCGUGGGUAUCGAACAGGAUUAGAUACCCCAGUAGUC
rnacentral:rRNA from 1 species